AUGAGGAACCUGAUUGGUCGAGGGCCUCAAACCAGGCGUGGCCAUAUAGAAAAUGGUGUGGGACCCACCUCGGAGCGCCAGCAGGGGCAGGAGCACACACCUGCUCCUCCCAACCGGUUCGGGAGGGAUUCCUCGGAAAUGAGUAAGUUUGACAAAAAACAGCGAAGGUUUGGGGAUGGGCUCCGGGCAGCCGUGACCCUGCUGGAGUGCGGGGGGGACCUCCAGCCCCCAGGGGGGUCCCUGCGCCUCCUCUGCCGAGGGGCCGGGUUCAGUUUUGGGAGUUUUGGGAUGGGCUGGUAUCGACAGAGACCCGGGCAGGGGCUGGAAGCCGUCGCAGGUAUCAGCAGCAGUGGCAGCGCCUACUAUGCAGAUUCGGUCAAGGGUCGGUUCACAAUCUCCAGGGACAACGGGCAGAGCUCGGUGACGCUGACCAUGAACAACCUCAAGGACGAGGAUUCCGGAUCCUAUUUCUGUGCCAAACGUGCUUAUGCUGAUAAUUGGAGUCCUGAUCCUGAAAUGGCCCUGGACUGA